UACGUAGGGCGCAAGCGUUGUCCGGAAUUAUUGGGCGUAAAGAGCUCGUAGGCGGCUUGUCGCGUCGACUGUGAAAUCCCGCGGCUCAACUGCGGGUCUGCAGUCGAUACGGGCAGGCUAGAGUUCGGUAGGGGAGACUGGAAUUCCUGGUGUAGCGGUGAAAUGCGCAGAUAUCAGGAGGAACACCGAUGGCGAAGGCAGGUCUCUGGGCCGAUACUGACGCUGAGGAAGCGAAAGCGUGGGGAGCGAACAGG
rnacentral:rRNA from 1 species